AUUGAACGCUAGCGGGAUGCUUUACACAUGCAAGUCGAACGGAGUGGCGAAAGGGUGAGUAAUGUAUAGGAACGUGCCCAGUAGCGGGGGAUAACUACGCGAAAGCGUAGCUAAUACCGCAUACUAUUGGAGCGGCCGAUAUAGGAUUAGCUAGUUGGGGUGGUAACGGCUCACCAAGGCGAAGCUCCGGCGCGAGUUUGAGAGGACGACCAGCCACACUGUGACUGAGACACGGCCCAGACUCCUACGGGAGGCAGCAGUGGGGAAGGUUGGACAAUGGGGGAAACCCUGAUCCAGCCAUCCCGCGUGAGCGAUGAAGGCCUUCGGGUUGUAAAGCACUUUUGGCAGGAAAGCGGUACCUGCAGAGUAAGCACCGGCUAACUACGUGCCAGCCGCCGCGGUAAUUC
rnacentral:rRNA from 1 species